UGCAGGAGAAGUGUGCCAGCCAGAUGACUUUGCCAGCCAGCAUGCUGCCAAAGACUUCACAAAAUGUCUCUCUUAUUGGGAAGAAAAGCGUUUGGAUGUCUCUCUGCACGUGUUCGAUGCGCCAUUUCUGAAAGGAUACAAGCCAAAGAAAGCCUUGCAGCUUCCACUUGGGUCUCCUGGAACACUCACUCUGGGAGAAGACAGCUGUCACGUAAGAAGCCUGACUACCCUGAGAUCACUUUGCUUUGAGGAAGCUCAAGCUGCCACCUGAAGAGGCUGUGUGGAGAGAGAAAUGCCUGAUAAGCCCCUAGCUGUUUCAGGCAUCUCAGCUGAUAAGCCAGACAUGUGACUAAGGAAGCCAUCUUGGACAUCCAGCUGAGAAAAAAAGAAAGAAAAAAGGCAGACCAAGGAGGUAAGAUAUUCACUCUUAUAGACUUAUGAAGAUGCUGCAAACCAUUUAUAAUUCAUAUCAAACCUCUUUAAUUUGACCUACAUCAUCCAUCAUGUCCCUUUCUGUUACUUGCUGGAAGA